GGGACUCGUGCCAAGCAACGUGUCACCUCUUACUAGAGUAACCAGAAGGAUCUUCAACUUUGACUCUCUGUGCACUCAAUAAAGGACCCAAUCAUGAAGUCCAUAAACAACCAACAGAGCAAGCUGAAAUGCGUUUGGCCCAAGACAUGUUGAACACCAACAUCAUUGUGCUUUGGGUAUUGCAUUGCUUUCCCUCAGCAAAAAUCCAUCUUUAAUGCAAAGGAAAUUGACAUGUAACUCUCAAACAUUUGAAAUACAAGGAGAGUAUCAAACUUUACUAGUAGCAGAGGAGCAACAGAAUUAUGUCAUUGUAUGGAAAUGGAUACAGGUUUGUUCCAACAGCAGAGUAAACCAUAAAUUGGAUUCAUUCUAUUCCCAUAAAUCUCAAAAAUCGUCAGAAACAAUGCUGUAGCCUAAAUGUAGCGUUGUAAUUUACCAGUAUGAGUAGACAUGUUAGAUGCCUCUCCAUUACUCUUACAUGCGCCAUCUUGCACCAAAGCACCUAGUUCUGAACUUGAAUACUUUCAUCCUAACAAGCCAUGCCUGUGUUCUGCAAAUCCAAGUGAUUAAAGCUUACUCUAAAAGUGACAUGCCUGUUUUGAGGGCGUUUAACCAGCUGUGAAUGUAGUAGACAUGCCCCAUCUUGCAAAUGCAGCUGUGCAUUCAUAUUUUCAUCAAAAGAACACAUCCACCUCUAAUUCCCAUUAAGAGCAUCAAUAUUGUUUUGACCAGGCAAUUAUACCACCAUGGCGUGUUUUCCAUGAUUAGACACCCUCAAUUAUUAUUCUAUCACUAUGAAUUGUCACUGUUUAAUUCCUUGUUGAAGAUCUUCACCACUGUUGAUAUCAUUUGAGGCCUUCUCAGAAAGCAUUCUCUUCAUUUUCUUUUUCAAAGCCUUAUCAAAGUCAGAAUAUGAUAAUGAUAACACCUGGUUCAACAGCAGUUUGACUCCAGACACCUUCACUAGUGCAUACCUAGGUUUUAUCCUCUCUUCCAAACUGUAGCCAAAAUAUUGAGGGAAUUUAACAAGCUCUUCUUUUGAAUAAUCCAUGGUCAAAAAGAAUUCCCACUUUGGUAUCAAGUUCUCUACCAAGCUAAAAGUAUAUAAUGCUCCAUAUCUUGUAAUCAUAGUCCCAACUUCCUGUAUACUGUACCCCCUUCCAAAGAAAAAUUCUGUCACAGGCUUCAAAUUGGAUUCAAUACUGAGGCCAAAAGUCUGUGGACAUCGGUGGAGAAGAACAGCAACAUCAACUCCCAAUGAACGGAAAUAUUCAGCCGUUGGCCGUAGUUUGUCCUCCACACUGUAACUUAUAAUGUUUGGGCAACGUGUUAGAAUCUUACCAAUGCUCUCUGCCGAGAGACCCAUCUCACAAAGGAAAUCUACAGUCACUUCAACCUUUUGCCUGCUAUAAGUAAGAAGUGCUGGAAAACGGUAUAUAACUUUAGCCCAUUUUCUCUUAUCCACGCCCAAAUUUUCUAAGAAUGUCAUAGUGGGUAUGAGAUUUUCAGAGAGACUGAUUCCACAAAGUUGAGGCCUUUUGACAAGGAUGGUUGGAAGGUCUGAUUUAGGUACACCAAGAUCAAGAAGGAACUCAACUAAUGGCUUAAUUUUUCCCUCCAAGCUGUAGUAAGCAAAAGCAGGGAAUCUCCGCGUGAUUCCCUUGAUCUGUUCAAGAUUCAUGCCAAGGUCUAUAAGAUACAGAGUACGAGGGGGAAGCUUCCCAGCAGGGCCUGUCUCACUUACUCUAGACAAAGCUUUCAGCUUCUUGGAAUCAAGUGUUAUAUGGGGUGGAGAUAGAGGUUGAACUGGUUUUCCUUUAAUAGAUGGGUUAGGAAAGUUCUCCACAAAAUCUACCAGAACACUUCUGUGGUCUUCAAGGAGAGAUUCUAGGUAUGGAAUAAGAGCAUCCCUUAUUUCUAGAGUUGUGAGCUCUCGUCUAGAUACCGAGAUUUAUGAACUGAAUGAAGCUUUGAGACAAGGUGGUCAAUGAACAGGUCCGACUUUUUGAUAGUUCUAGCAGCAACUGCAUUGCUUAAACCUUGUUUCUUCAAGAACAAGGUUAAGACAGCCUUGGCUUCUUCUUUUUCUGCUGCCACUAGGGUUGGAGGCACUACUCUUGAGCUGAAUGAUCCGUCUACCCCAGAAUCAGCUUUUAUAGCAUUGAAAGAAAUUGGUCAAUGCUAUAAAGAGAAAAAGAACCAGGCUGAUAUUAACAAAUAACAACUUUGGCUCUGGUAUGGAACUUAAACUAGCACUACAAGGAAUCCUAUAUGAAAAUUUAAAUUAACUCUUACCAAACUUAGCUUGGCAAGAGAAGAAUUUCCUCGGAAGAGAAAGUUGAGU
rnacentral:misc_RNA from 1 species